rnacentral:rRNA from 1 species
CCUACGGGAGGCAGCAGUGGGGAAUAUUGCACAAUGGGGGAAACCCUGAUGCAGCGACGCCGCGUGAGUGAAGAAGUAAUUCGGUAUGUAAAGCUCUAUCAGCAGGGAAGAAAAUGACGGUACCUGAGUAAGAAGCCCCGGCUAACUACGUGCCAGCAGCCGCGGUAAUACGUAGGGGGCAAGCGUUAUCCGGAUUUACUGGGUGUAAAGGGAGCGUAGACGGCAGUGCAAGUCUGGAGUGAAAUGCCGAGGCUCAACCCCCGGACUGCUCUGGAAACUGUACGGCUGGAGUGCAGGAGAGGUAAGUGGAAUUCCUAGUGUAGCGGUGAAAUGCGUAGAUAUUAGGAGGAACACCAGUGGCGAAGGCGGCUUACUGGACUGUAACUGACGUUGAGGCUCGAAAGCGUGGGGAGCAAACAGGAUUAGAUACCCUUGUAGUC